rnacentral:lncRNA from 1 species
GCGAUGGUGCGAACGAAGAAGCAACGGCGUGGAUGUGCGGAAGAAUAUGCCGGCCGGGCCACUCUCCGUACGUGCGGGCGCGGGUGACCGGUGCCGUGACGCAACAGGGGCGGUGCCGGUGCACGCACCUGUGCGUGUGGAGAGGUACGUGCUCCGUGUUUUCCUGUGGUAUCUCGCGUGUAUCAUCUCUGUCUCAAAAUAAUCUUAUUUUUUAUGUUUUUCAUGUCUAACGUUCGAUCAUUCGUUAUAUUUAAAAAAUUUAUAAAAAAUAUAAAAAUUAGUCACGUAUAAAUCACAAUUCAUAUUUUAUCAUCUAGUAAUAAUAAAAAUAUUAAUCAUAAAAAAAAUUAAAUAAGAUAAAAUAUCAAACAGAAAAAAUGAAAAAUAAUGUUAUUAGGUGACGGCGGUAGUACGUCCCACCGUAAGCGACCGUGUUUCGCCGCCGGUUCGAUCUUGACGUGGAUGGGCCUUGGCUGGCCCACCUGGCCCCGACGGGUGCCACGGACGCACGGCCCAAACUGGCAGAUCCUGAGAAGAUAGGCCCAUCAGCCUAGCCAAACGGCCGACCGAUUUAUGGAAAAGGCCAUUCUUUUUUUUUAUCUCCCUCAAUUAUUGGCGGAGUUUAUUCAUAUAUUCCAAUCAGGGGGGGGGGGGGGGGGUUAACUUACCAUAUGGUUUUGGGGGGGGGUUUUUUAACUUACCAUAUGGUUUUGACGGUGGAUCUUUUGAUAUUCCAUAUAACAUGGUAUAUAUGUUGCUCAUACCAUCGUGGCCUUAGGCCCCGUUUAGUUUUUAUUUAUUUUUUAAAAAAACAUCACAUCGAAUCUUUGAACACCUAAAUAGAAUAUUAAACAUAGAUAAAAAACUAAUAAAACUAAUUGUAAAGGAGAAAAAUCGUGAGACAAAUCUAUUAAACAUAAUUAGUCCAUGAUUAGCCAUAAGUGCUACAAUAAUCCACGUAUGCUAAUGACGAAUUAACUAGGCUCAAAAGAUUUGUUUUGAGGUUUCUAGGCGAGCUAUGAAAUUUGUUUUUCAUUCGUGCCCAAAACCCCUUAUGACAUUCGGCCAAACGUCCGACGUGACACAUAAACAUUUUUAUUUUACCAACUGAAGGGGCAUUAGACGGCCCUGGUUGCCAUGGUGGCGCCGCAGUAGUUCUAGACGAGGCACAUGGUGGCCAACGGCAGUGUCAGCAAACUGAAGGGCAUAUCCAACCACGGUUUAGUUCUAUGAUAGCAGGUAUAAUAACAGGCUAUAAGCCAGCUAUAAACAUAUUUUAAGUAGAUAAGAGAUGAGAGAGAAGAGAAGCGGACUACAGAUUUAUAGUCAGCUGCAGCACAGACUCCAAAACACAUGUGUGUAUGAUAAAUGGGUCGAAUAUUAGUUGUGUAGUAUAUGACUAUUGUAUGAAUUAACUAUUAAGUUGGCUAUAGAUAAUUUGGAGCCAACAGUUGGCUAUAUAGUUGAACUUGCUCCGGCGUGCGCCUUCCGAUCUCUCAGCCACCACCAGUUGGUCCUAGACUUAUAGGUUGGAUCCGUCUAGAUAGGGAAGGGAAUGGUGCCGGAUGGAACAACCGCGUAGAGCGGGAAGGAUGGGAGGAACUGGAUGGAACAACACCUAUUACUAACACCCUAAAGCAAUUGCAGAGUAGUAUAUACUAUCCCCUUCGCAAAAAAAAAAACAAUUCAUAGCAAUGAAUCAAAACAUACCGUGAAUUAACCAACCCCUCAAACUCCAGAUCCUGAAUCUACCCUAGUUCUAGGUGUUCUAAACUGUAACAUUGGUACAUUUACAUGGGUCCAAGCGAAAAGAUAGGUCUAUAGGUGAUCCAAGUUAAAACUUAAGUAACAAAAUAUGUCACAAAGUAUAUGUAACACUCCUAAAAUUUGCUAAGUUUUAAAAUCGUUUUUAUUUUCUUGUGAGCUUUAAAAAUUCAUGCGUCGAGUUUUUCAUUUCAUUCAAUUUUGAAAAAGUUGCUUGUUGUUCUCGUUUGUCUUUCUUUCGUCAUUUUCGUUUCCUUUCGAAAGUGCAAAGUUCCUCCCAAAUUCUUUAGUUCGCGGAUGAAUUCGUUCCAUCUUCAUCCGCCCCGUCGCCGGAUUUCGUUCCAUCUUUUUUCUCCCCUCAUUACCGACCCGUUUGUUUCGGAUCGGCCAAAACCGGUAUAUCUCUUUUUCCUUCCAGUCCAACGCCCACAGCCUCCAACGAACCGACAUACCCAGCGUUGUCUUGAUCUCUACCACCUGCAUCGUUAGAAGCUGCAACCGACAUCUUCACCAUCAUCAUCUUUUCUUGCCACGCACCUGCUUGCUGCGCCCACGCGACGCCUCAAACCAAACCGACUCAAAAUGAACCGACCUUCAUCGUUGCAUCUGUACAAAUACCAAGCCAGUUCACCACCGUCAGCAUGGUUUUUUUUCUCCAUCUUCCUCCUCCGUUUGUCUCUCUAGUUGCUGCCAAUAGAGAACAAAGUCGCUGUGACCUUCCUCUCAUCCCACCCGAAGCAGCGCCGCCCCUACGACCGGAGUCGCCGCAGCUUGCUUAAAGUUCACCGGAGUUCGAGUUUUGGUCACCGGCGUUCCACCGCGAAAUCCAUCGCUCUCACUGCUCCACCUCUAAAAUUAGUGGUAAAAAUGGAACCUAGACCUUCCAUUUCACCAUUCCCCUCUCUUUCCCGGCGAAAUCGUCGCCGGAAUCACACCGGAGUCACCACCGGCGCACUGCCCCUGCUAUCCUCUGUUCACCGCUGCCGGCUGCACGGCGCCAUGUUGCCUCGCGCCGUUCUGCACCCAGCUACUAGCCCUUCUAGUACCACCACCCAUCCCGGAACCUCCCCACCACCGCACCCUCGCCGGAACUUCGCCGGAGCACCGCCGGAGCGGCGGGGNNNNNNNNNNNNNNNNNNNNNNNNNNNNNGGGGGCGGCUUUCUCCGCCGCCUGUUCAUGGCCGCCGCUGCCACCCUUGCCUGCUGCCUCCCAGCCGCCGCUACCGAGGGGAACCGGUCCCCCUCGGCCUCUUGCCGCCGGAUCUCGCCUCUCCCCGGCCAGAGCUGGCCUCCCAUCACCGGCGCUCCUCCAUGGCCGCUCCCUGUACACGAGAGAGAGAAAAGAACGAAGCAGAGAGAAAGAAAAGAACGAAGAAGAAAGGGAGGAGAGAGAAAAUAGAGAUUUUCCUAUUCGAAAAUAAUUCCAAAAUUCCUAUUUUCACUUUAAACCCAUUUACCCAUCCAUUUGAACUCCGAUUCCAAAUCUGAGACCUAUUCUAGACUUUUUGAAUUAUUUUGAGUCCAAUGAAACUACUUUCAUCGCCAUCCGAGCAUCCGUAGAUGCGACCCUAAUUUUGGCUUCUGGGGUUUGCGACGGUUAAAAAUUCCAAAAAUUCCAAAAUUCAUUCCUAGCAUUCUUUCCACCUUUUUAUGCACUUUCUAAAGUUCUGGUGUUUAUUUGGAGUUAAUCGCUUAUCUAUUUUAUUUUAUUUGUGUAUCGAUAGACUGCGACGCUAUUGAUACAGAAGGAGCCGGAUCGGAGUUCGUUGCCAACAUCUACGACACCGCCGUUGCAGGGAGUGAAGCCUGGGACGAGUACGUCUGACCCUGAAGGCAAGUCAAGCAUCCUUUGAUCAUAUUUGAACCUAAUCUGGAGCUAGGUCAUAUUUUGGGUAGUUGUACUUACCUUGAAGUACAUAUUUAGCUUGCAUGUGUUAAUUAAUUAAAUUAUCACCUUAAUUAGCAGUUACCCAUUUAUUAUAUUGCUUUAAAUAUUGCCAUACCUUGAUAUUGUGCUUGUUAUGCCUUGAUAACCCUGGUUUAGAAUAGAUGAUUAUUAUAUGGCUAUCAUUAUUUUAUGUGAAAGCAUAGAUGUUAUAUAGUUUAUUUGAAAAGCUAUAAGGACUUAACCACCUUAUGCCAGUAUAUGUGACGUAGUUUACACCCAUCCACAUGGUCGAGAUAUUCGGCCCUAGCAUAUACUGCUCUAGUGAAUUGAUGAUCUACAACCUAUCUGUGUAUGUAGCAAUAUCGGCCUUAGGUGUGUACUGGCCAUUGAUUGUUGUGAGAAUUGUAUGAGUGAGGGUGCUGCGUGUACCCAGGGCGUUGUGUAUGCCCAAAAGGGGUCAGGAGGAGCUGGUGUGCCUCUGAGACGCUCAAUAGUGGGUCAAUGUUGUGGCGGGGUUGGAACCCCUCCGCAUUCGGGACAGGGCCAAUAGACGCAACAUAUCCUUCAACCCGCUAGGUGGAUCUUAGAUAAGCUUGAGGCAAUAUUGUGUUGUGUUAUUCAUAGCCUAGCUAGCUAUGGGUAUCGUGUGGGUAAAGCUGGGUAGACGCUGUAGAGUAGUUUGGUAUUUGAAUACGUCGUGCUCCCGGUUAAUGGAGAUAUGUCUAUGGGUGAAUCCAGUGUGUUGGCAAAAAGGUAGAUUUGGAGUUAUUGUAUAACAUGGUAGGUGAAUAACAUAAAAUAAUGGUUAUACUCAAUUAUUAUACUGGGUUAUUUUUGGUUUAUUCGUAAACUAUUGUUAAGGUUAGAGAGUUGAACCGAUUUCCUUCCUUUGUUAACUAUGCAUUACUAUUUUACUACCUUUCCUGCUUGGCUUGUGGGGUACUUGUGUACUCAGUGUUGCAUACUUUUGGCUCCAGAUGGUCAGGGUGAAUUUGCAGGUGGAGUCGAAGAGCUAGAGAACCCACCGGAGUGGGACGAAGAUGAAGGCUUCGACUUUUAGGUCGACUCUAUGCUCAGGCUAUUCCUGUGGUGCAGAGUUGCGUCUUUUGUUUGUAGUGUAAGGCUGUAGGCCCGUUGCGUGUGUUUUAGUUUAGCUAGAGUUGUAUUAAAACCUUGUUGGUUUGUAUGAUUAGU